AUACGAAGGGGGCAAGCGUUGUUCGGAAUAACUGGCGUAAAGCGCACGUAGGCGGAAUGUUAAGUUAGAGGUGAAAUCCCAGGGCUCAACCCUGGAACGGCCUUUAAUACUGGCAAUCUAGAGACCGAGAGAGGUGAGUGGAAUUCCGAGUGUAGAGGUGAAAUUCGUAGAUAUUCGGAGGAACACCAGUGGCGAAGGCGGCUCACUGGCUCGGUACUGACGCUGAGGUGCGAAAGCGUGGGGAGCAAACAGGAUUAGAUACCCUAGUAGUCC
rnacentral:rRNA from 1 species